UGCAGGUAAGCGCGGAAGUGGUAGAGGCCGCCUGUAGUGGGUGGCAGCCCCUUUGGGGUGGGAACCUCGGUUUCCGGGACCUGUUUUUCA
rnacentral:sRNA from 12 species